UGUAUCUGAAGCCUGACGAAGAUGAGAACCUCCGGAGGGCAAGAGGUUCGACCCGAGCGAAGCGAGAGAACGUUGCUUCAGCAACGGCCCGCAGGGCGAGCCAUCCUCUAUCACCGGCAG
rnacentral:sRNA from 1 species